rnacentral:lncRNA from 1 species
AGACAUAUCUUUGUGAGUUCAAGGAUAGCUUGGUCUAUGGAAAGAGUUCCAGGACAGCCAGGGCUACAUUGAGAAACCCUGUCUUGAAGGAAAUAAUUUUCAAGGGGUUUGGAGAGACAUUCAUGAGUUAAGAGCAUGAGUAGGUCCUGCAGAACCUCACAUCAAAUAGAUCACUACCACCCAUAACUUCUCAAUUAUAGAGAUCCUCCACGGGCACCUGCAUACAGGUGGCGCAUAUUCUCUCUCUCUCUUCUCUUCCCUCCCUCCCUCCCUCCUUCCCUCCCUCCCUUCCUCCAAGGCAAAAUUGCCACAGAUGAUUUUAGCAUAUUGUUCAGUUCUAAUUAACGCUAGGGAAUUAAUUAAGUCCAUAGAAAACUACUAGGGCGAAAUAGUCUCUACUUUAGGGUGUUAAGAUUCUUUUUCAGGUCUUUAGUUUCACAUGUUAUUUAUAUUAUAAAAAUAAUAAAUAUGUACUAUAAAAAGCAAAAAAGUUAAAUGGAAAAAAAUUAAACAUAAAAAUAUAAUCUUCUUGUUUUCUUGUAUUCUUCCAAGUGUUACAUGCACAAUUUGCUAUAUAUUAUUUCAACUUUGUUCAGUAUAAGUAUUUUCACACAUAAUAUGCAUAUAUACAUAUACAUUAAAAAAAUAUUCUAUGUCACUUGAUAAUUAUCACUAGCCUUCUGGUCUAACACUGUAAAUUUGUAUUUGGUUUCUUGUUUUGCAUCUCUCUUACUGUUGGAGGCUCUUAUUGCCUCUGCAUUCAGUUAUUGCCCAAGCCUUAUGUCUGCAUUAGUGUACAGACAGGCUUUGAAGAUAUCCCAGAUUUUGGUAGUAAUAAAGAUGCAUUAUAUUACGGCUAAAAUGAUCUUUUUUUUUUUUUUUUGGUUUCUCAAUACCUAUGAGAGUUGUGCUUACAUCAUACUUUAGGGCACACACACACACACACACAUAUAUAUGUAUAUAUAUGUAUAUGUACACAUAUAUAAAUACAUAGCAUAUAUACAUAUAUAUGUAUAUGUGUAUGUAUAUAUGAGUGUGUGUGUAUAUAUAUACAUUGUGUGCGUGUGUGUGUGUGCACUCGAGCUAUUAUCUUUUUACUUAAAAUUGCAUAUGCCUUAAUUUUAAUUUUAAAUGCUUUAUUGGGGCUGGAAAGGUAGUUCAGUGAUUAAGAGCCCUUGUUGCUCUUGCAGAGGACUCAGGUUCAGUUACCAGCACCCACAUGUACCCACAUAGCAGCUAACUUCAGCCUGGAACUCCAGUUCUACACUCCAUCUAACCCCUGUGGUCACCAGGCAUGUAUGUGGUACACAGCCAUACAUGCAAGCCAAAUACCCAUACAACAUAAGAUAAAUGAAAAAAAAAAUUCGAGACAGGGUUUCUCUGUGUAGCCUUGGCUCACUCUAUAGACCAGGCUGGACUCUGCCUCAUGAGUGCUGGGAUUAAAGGCAUGUGUCACAACCGUAUGGCAAAAUAAGUACAUGAAUAAAUGAAAAAAAAGUGAAGAAAAAUGAAAAAGUAAAUGAAUAAAAAGAUUUAAGAAUGCUUUAUUGUAGCCGGGCAUGGUGGCGCACGGCUUUAAUCCCAGCACUCAGGAGGCAGAGGCCGGCGGAUUUCUGAGUUUGAGAGAAACCCUAUCUCAAAAAACAAAGAACAAAAAACAAACAAAAAAAAAAAGAGCUGAGAAAUUACUAAAAAUAUAAAACCGACUCUGAGGUGUGCAUGCAGUAACCAUGGAGACUCACACACCUCCCUUUAAGUACCACUGCCCACUAAAUUGACAGGUGAAAGACAAAUUCCUAAAUACCCUUACAGGAGAUCCCACAAAUCUCUUAUCAGCUAACUGAAUAAACAGAAGAAAAAUCAGAAGCAGAAAGAAUAUUAUAAUUAAUGUGAGUCUAUGCAAGUACACAAGUAGGUUUUAGGCUAAAAGAACAGUCUAUUAUUGUGUGCAGUUAAAAGAACAUAAGCAUUUUGGAGUAGCCCUGGGGAGGCAUAGGCAAGUGGAUCUCUUGAGUCUCUUGAGUUCAAGGCCAGCCUGGUCUAUACAUCGAGUUUCAGAACAGGCAAGGCUACAUAGAGAAACCCUGUCUCGAAAAACCAAAAACCAAAACCAAAUCAAAUC